CCUACGGGAGGCAGCAGUGAGGAAUAUUGGUCAAUGGUCGGGAGACUGAACCAGCCAAGCCGCGUGAGGGAUGAAGGUACAGAGUAUCGUAAACCUCUUUUGUCAGGGAACAAAGGCGGGGACGUGUCCCCGGAUGAGUGUACCUGAAGAACAAGCAUCGGCUAACUCCGUGCCAGCAGCGGCGGUAAUGCGGAGGAUGCGAGCGUUACCCGGAUGUCUGGGGUUAAAGGGGUGCGCAGGCGGUCUGUUAAGUCAGCGGUCAAGCCCCGGGGCUCAACCCCGGCCCGCCGUUGAAACUGGCAGUCUCGAGUUGGAGAGAAGUAGGCGGAAUGCGCGGUGUAGCGGUGAAAUGCAUAGAUAUCGCGCAGAACUCCGAUUGCGAAGGCAGCAUGCCGGCUCCACACUGACGCUGAGGCACGAAAGCGUGGGUAUCGAACAGGAUUAGAUACCCGGGUAGUC
rnacentral:rRNA from 1 species